rnacentral:rRNA from 1 species
GACGAACGCUGGCGGCGUGCUUAACACAUGCAAGUCGAACGGAAAGGCCUCUUUCGGGGGGUACUCGAGGGGCGAACGGGUGAGUAACACGUGUGUAACCUGCCCUUGACUUUGGGAUAACCUCGGGAAACGGGGGCUUAUACCGGAUAGGUGCUCCUGCCGCAUGGGGGGGGGUGGAAAGUUUCGGCGGUUGGGGAUGGACUCGCGGCUUAUCAGCUUGUUGGUGGGGUAGUGGCUUACCAAGGCUUUGACGGGUAGCCGGCCUGAGAGGGUGACCGGCCACAUUGGGACUGAGAUACGGCCCAGACUCCUACGGGAGGCAGCAGUGGGGAAUAUUGCACAAUGGGUGGAAGCCUGAUGCAGCAACGCCGUGUGCGGGAGGACGGCCUUCGGGUUGUAAACCGCUUUCGCUAGUGACGAAGCUUUGUGUGACGGUAGUGGGUAAAGAAGCACCGGCUAACUACGUG